rnacentral:misc_RNA from 1 species
UGAAACUCGAUCAGUUUGACGAGCUUGUCGACUUAUUCUUUUUCAGUGUUAUAUACUUAUUCUUCCUCCUAAUUUUGAACCUUCUUAAUAACUACUCUUAAUAUAUAACCUACUUUAAUAACAACUGUUCAACCUUAACUUAUAAAAAAAAUUAUUUUGAUAAGACGAGAAGCGAACGUCAACAAAAAGACAUAAUUAGCCACGAAAUUUUAUUGAUACCGAGAGUACGCAUGCAGCAAACGAGAAUUCUCAGGACACAAUUAGGUUUACGGCCACACCAUUGCACGUGUAAUACCUGCAACAUGAAUAAUUCUAUCAACUUCCCGAGAAUCUGUACCGAUAUUAAUCGAGAAUAAUCGCUGCAGAUCCCCUUUCUCGCUAGCAAAUACGCUGACCAUUAGCGUUCAUAGAAUCAUCGAACGUGCUACUUCAUUCCACGUAUUUCAGAUGUUUCGACGUACAUGAG